GGCUUAUCAAUGCAAUGUAAUGAACUUGGGGCCUUGUGGACAAUCCAGGCUGCGCGUAACGCAGCUAUAAGUGCUAAAUCACGCCCGUCCAGAGAUACAAAGACAAGGUUUUCUCCUGUUCUAGGACAAAGGGUUGGAGAAUGAAUACCUGGACGACUGGGACACUGGGAAAAAUCGGUUUCUAGCCGUAAGGAGCUAAGUGCACUGGCUGCAACAAGAUGCUGUAGUGAUGCCACAAGGACUGAAGUUCACAGUCAGUCAAAUCAUUCAUUGACAUGGUAGGAGACCUGUUCAUCCUCCCUGAUGCAAGUGCCUUUCUGAGUGAGCAAAUCGGCUAGAACCCUCUCGAAGUGUUUAACUACAUUUCUAUUUGAUGCACAUAAUUAUUUUUUUUACGUGUGAUCAAACAACCAUAAUUAUAAUUAUGAAUCGAA